rnacentral:rRNA from 1 species
AUUGAACGCUGGCGGCAGGCCUAACACAUGCCAGUCGAACGAAGUGGCGAACGGGUGAGUAACGCGUAAUCAACCUGCCCUUCAGAGGGGUACAACAGUUGGAAAAGACUGCUAAUACCGCAUACUGAAGGAGGGGAUUGCGUCUGAUUAGCUAGUUGGAGGGGUAACGGCCCACCAAGGCGAUGAUCAGUAGCCGGUCUGAGAGGAUGAUCAGUCACACUGGAACUGAGACACGGUCCAGACUCCUACGGGAGGCAGCAGUGGGGAAUAUUGGACAAUGGGCGAAAGCCUGAUCCAGCCAUGCCGCGUGUGUGAAGAAGGUCUUCGGAUUGUAAAGCACUUUAAGUUGGGAGGCGUUACCAACAGAAUAAGCACCGGCUAACUUCGUGCCAGCAGCCGCGGUAAUAC